UUGUUCCCUUGAGGAGUGGCUUCCGAAGCUAACGCGUUAAAUCGACCGCCUGGGGAGUACGGCCGCAAGGUUAAAACUCAAAUGAAUUGACGGGGGCCCGCACAAGCGGUGGAGCAUGUGGUUUAAUUCGAUGCAACGCGAAGAACCUUACCUACUCUUGACAUCCAGAGAAUUUAGCAGAGAUGCUUUAGUGCCUUCGGGAACUCUGAGACAGGUGCUGCAUGGCUGUCGUCAGCUCGUGUUGUGAAAUGUUGGGUUAAGUCCCGCAACGAGCGCAACCCUUAUCCUUUGUUGCCAGCACAUUAUGGUGGGAACUCAAAGGAGACUGCCGGUGAUAAACCGGAGGAAGGUGGGGAUGACGUCAAGUCAUCAUGGCCCUUACGAGUAGGGCUACACACGUGCUACAAUGGCGUAUACAAAGAGAAGCGACCUCGCGAGAGCAAGCGGAACUCAUAAAGUACGUCGUAGUCCGGAUUGGAGUCUGCAACUCGACUCCAUGAAGUCGGAAUCGCUAGUAAUCGUAGAUCAGAAUGCUACGGUGAAUACGUUCCCGGGCCUUGUACACACCGCCCGUCACACCAUGGGAGUGGGUUGCAAAAGAAGUAGGUAGCUUAACCUUCGGGAGGGCGCUUGCCACUUUGUGAUUCAUGACUGGGGUGAAGUCGUAACAAGGUAACCA
rnacentral:rRNA from 1 species